rnacentral:lncRNA from 1 species
AGUUUUUUUUCCGAUUCAUAUGCAUCACUUCUAGUUGCUGCGGGCGGGGGCUAAAGGAUGUGUAAUUAGACAAGAGAGGAUAUUGAUGGAUUUAAGUCAAUUUCGUUCUACUACUGUUUUGCUGUCACCGUAAUCUCUUAUAAAAACUUCAACAAAAGAACAUUAGAACACAUUACGUAAAAGCUAUAGAAAAUAAAGAAAAGUUAUUUGAUAAAUACUUGACAUGCAAAAUUGAAACAAAUUUCUUAUACUAUUGAGCGUAACAUCAAUACGAAACUCACAAAUAGGUAACUCAAUCUCUUAUAUGAGUAUGUUGCUAAUUAGUUUUCUUUGUAUCUAGUCCACAAUUUCAAAAUGAUGCUUCUUUAAUUCGAUACCCUAUUCUCAUUCUCUAACAACAAAUGUACCCACAAGCAAAGAAAAUUCUUUCACUGGUUAGUGGUUGGAAGCAUGUUAAUCCCCUCCCUCCCCCCAUUUUUGAGCUCCUAGUUGAUUGCUAAAGCCGCCAUCACUAGAGUUGAGCAUCCAAAUCUCCAAAUUAUGCUUCGCAAUACCUAGUGGAGCUCUUUCUCUAUCGAUCUCAUAAUAUUGGAGACUAAAGCAUCUUGCCCCUCAAUGACCAAGAAUCCAUGUCAUGUUUUGUCCAUCAUCCACGUACAUAGACAACACAUACUUUUAAAAUAGAAACCAAAAUCAAGAUUAUCUCUAUCUCUGCUAUUAUUGGUUGUGAGUUUCUAAUUUCCAAGGCUCUCAAAUUUGAAAACGACUCGCAAAUAGAUUAAUUAAUCACAGAGAUUAGUGGUUAGAAAUAGAAAUGUCAUUGACUCCAUAUAUGUAAUGGUGUGGUACGUGUACAUAUUAUUUGUUAUUUGGUAACCAAACUUGGAGUAAAGAUCUUAAUUUCAAUUCUAUCCACACAAAAAAAAGAUCUUUAUUUCAAUUAGCCGCAAGAUCAGAUAUUUCUGAGGACAUUUUUAUAGUGAUCGAGUUUGAGGACAUAGACUAGCAUACAAUUGCUUAGUGUGUUUCAUAUCAAACAACAAAUAAAACAUCUUGCUUUUCAUCCUCCUCACUAGCCGGCCCAUGCAAAUACGUGUAGAAAAGUUUUCAAGUUAUGCUCCCAUAUUUAGCAAAGUUUUAAUUAAGCAUGGUUAGACCCAUUUUAAGCAUGAUUGUCAUCCCCUCCAAACUUUAAUAUAUUGUUUUAUGCGCUAGUAGCCCUAACUAAUUGCAUAUUACGGCAUAGGAAUUCUUCUGGCAAAAAGAAAAUAAAAACGACUAAAUUUA